rnacentral:rRNA from 1 species
GCGAGUGAACUGGGAAAAGCUCAAAUUUUAAAUCACCUAGGUGAGUUGUAAUUUGAAGAAAGUGUUUUGAUGCUCUGGUUUGGCCUAAAUCCUUUGGGAUAAGGUAUCAUAGAGGGUGAGAAUCCCGUUCGUGACUAAACCGUGGGUGUCACUUAAUUCACUUUCCAAGAGUCGAGUUGUUUGGGAUUGCAGCUCAAAAUGGGUGGUAAAUUUCACCUAAGGCUAAAUAUGUGCAAGAGACCGAUAGCGAACAAGUACCGUGAGGGAAAGAUGAAAAGAACUUUGAAAAGAGAGUUAAAUAGUACGUGAAAUUGUUGAAAGGGAAACGAUUGAAGUCAGUCAUGCUUGCGGGGAAUCAACAAAGUGGUUUUCUUCCUUGUGCACUUCCUUGCUUGGCAGGUUAGCAUCAAUUUUGAUUGUCAUUAAAGAACUAGGGGAAUGUGGCUUCUUCGGGAGUGUUAUAGACCCUGGUAGAUGUGGCGAUUGGGAUUGAGGAUUGCAGCGAAUGCUUCUUGGCUAGUCACCUGGCUUCUGACGGUUACCUUGCUUCCGAUAGCUUGCUAACGGUGGUGAGACUCGAUUGUCUAGAUGUUAGGCUGAUCAUAAAUUCGCUAAGGAUGC